GAACAGAGCUGGGGGACAACGUAGCUGCCCCGCAAGAAGGGGCGGGGCAGAGUACCGCGAAGAGCUAGAGCGCGCGUCACUUCGAGCCGCGCGGCAGGACCUUUACUUUCGUCAGAAGAGAGAAAGAAAAGGCACUUGAGAAGACCCAGACGACCCUGGCAGAAAGGUCUAGCUAAGAAAGUGUUAACAAAGGGAAGGAAGACCCCAGAAGAAAUUGUGACGACUUUGCUUCAUGUACUGAUUCCACAAAUGUGGAGCCCCUGUCGUCGGGCCGGUUACAGGCCACUGAAGAAACACAGCAACAGCCUUACAACACAUCCCAACCCAUGGAGAGAGGCCCUGUAAGGCCCCCAAUCUGAAAACUCAGAGCCCAAGCCUUGACCAGGAGGAUAUUACUAUGAAAGCUGUUUUGGAUCAACAGCCAGGACGAGUUUUCUUCACACUCACAGGACUGCACCUCUCAUAAAGCAUUAGCCUGUGAACUUUGCUGCAGUCUCUGUUUCCAGGCAGAUAGCUUUCCAUGGAGGUUUGGCAGUCAGUGUCUCAGCCAAGUAAGUCAUCACUCUUAGCAUCACCAGUAGUGGAAGAACCCAGUGUAUGAAGAUCCUCAUGAGAUGCCUCUGAAGUAUUCCUGAAAAAAAAAAAAAAAAGAAUUUAACCUAAACCUAAUCAAGCCUCCAGACCUAACUUCCAUUUUAAGGACAAUAUAGUCUUAAAUGUAAAAGUUAAAG